AUAUUGUCUGUGGUGUGGUAUGUACGUAGGAAGAGGUGUGUUGUGGUGAUUUUAGGUCAAUAAUUUAUUGAAAUGGGUCUUUGUUUCUGUUAAUAAAUAUUAGAAUUAGAAACCUAUAAAUUUAUUUGUUAAUUUGUGAUUAAUAUGGAUCUAUUGUGUAUUGAAAACUAUUACGUUUGGCUGGUGUAAUGACAUUAAAGAAAAUCGGGAAAAUGUCAACAAAAUCCCAAAUAUCCACAGAAUUAAGUGAUAGCAUUAGUAAUGUUUUGGGUAAAAAUGUUAAGAUUCUUUUCAAAUCCCUUAUUCGUAUGGAAUCAAGAGGUGAUAAAGUUGACAACAGGGUUUUGGUUGUGACAUCCUAUAGAAUCUUUAUCACUACAACAAAAGUUCCAACUAGGGUCGACAAUGGAUUUCACUUGAUGGAAAUUGAAGCGCUGGAAAGCAAAAAGGCUAAUCACCUGUCAAUAACGCUCAUUCACGAGCAUAAACCGGUCUCCAUUCUUAUUGGCGAGGAGGGUACAUCAGAGGGAGUCCUAAAUGUGAUCCACGCGUUGAUCGCGGCGUACGAUGACUUGUUCCCCAACGUAGCCAUGGAAGACAUCAUUUCCAAGGUGAAUCUACCAUUUCCCCUGCAACAUGUAAGUGGUACGAGGAAACAUUCAACUUGCGGUGACUUUUCUAAUCAGUAUGCAGCCAUGUGCGACCUUUGUCAAACGCCCUUCAGGGCGGAGGUUGCGUGGGACAUCGACACAAUUUAUUUAGCGCAUGACAUCAGAAUGCUACAUUUGAAGGAUUUCGACCAUUUAGAUCAGAGGGACCUGAUCCCCCUGCUAAUCGCGCUGCAGCACAACACGUGGUUCACGGGCGUGUGCGGGGACGGCGUCCGCGCGGGCGGCGAGGCGUGGGAGGCGCUGUGCCGCGUGGUGCGCUGCGCCGCGCCGCCGCCGCAGAAGCUGGCGUGGCGCGCCGCUGCUCUGCGCCACGACCACGCCGCACGGCUGGGGCACGCCCUUCUGAGGGCGCGCACGCCGCCUUCUAUGCAUACCAUCGACUUCUCUCAGAAUCAUAUUGAGGACAAAGGUGCUAUUAGUAUUCUGAGUGGGUUGGCGAACAACCUAGACGGGUUGCGGUCGAUCUCUCUGUCGCAAUGCGGGUUGACGGGCAAGACCGUGUCGCACCUCGCCGCGAUGCUUAACGACAACCAGUGCCAUCUCUCCACGCUCUCGCAUUUAGAUCUUUCACACAAUAACCUCAAGGAUGACGUACAUAAUUUGUAUAAUUUCCUUGCCCAACCCAACGUGUUGACGCAUUUAAAUUUAACCAAUACAGAGACUACGUUAGAAAAUAUGUGGGGAGCGUUGCUCCGCGGGUGUGCAGCGAGACUGUCAGACUUGCUCGUGGGGCGGAACCCCUGGUCUUCCGCGCGAAGACCCAAGGAUCCGCCGCCAUCCUUCAGACAGUUCUUCACGGCUUGUCUUGCGCUUACCAACCUGGAUUUCUCGUACUGCAAAAUGCCGCCCGAUGCUCUCAAGAGCCUUCUUCUCGGGUUAGCGUGCAACGAGAGCGCAACAGGCGUGCAGCUCAACUUAGCCGGCGUGCUGUCGUCGGCGCAGGCCGCGCACGUGCUCGAGUCCUGCAUCCACGGAGUACGCUGCUUGCAGUCGCUCGACCUCUCCGAUAAUAGUAUGGAAUUCGAACUAUCCGGCAUAGUACGAGCAAUAGGGAAAAAUCACUCCAUCACGCAUUUAUCGUUAAGCCGACUGAGUGGUAAAAGGUCUUAUGCGCCGCCUCUUAUACAGGCAUUGGUUCACGUUCUUCAAGAGCCGGACACGACUUUGACUUCAUUAGAUCUCAGCGAUUGUAAACUUAAGGGUGACUUGUACGGGCUGCUAAACGCGCUGGGCGGCGCGCGGCGCCUGCGCACGCUGGACGUGGGCGGCAACCUGGCGGGCGACGCGGCCGCGCGUCUGCUCGCCAAGGCUCUGCAGUGCAACUGCACGCUGCACACGCUCUACAUCGACCGCAACGCGUUUAGCUUACAGGGUCUGACGGACAUAGCGACGGCGCUCCGCCGGUCUGUAAGCGUGCGGCGCGUGGAGUUCCCGGGCUGCGACGCGGCAGCCGGCGGCCGGGGCGCUAGUGAGCGAGUCGCUACACUGUGGAGAGAGCUGCAUGAGCGGCUAGCAAGCAACAGCGCGCCGGCGCAGUGCCACCGGCUGCGGGCGCUGGCGCUGGAGCGCGCCUGGGCGGGGGGCGAGGCGGCGGCGGCGCUGGCGGCGCAGGCGGCCGCCGCGCUGCCGCCGCCGCCGCUGCCCGCUGCGCUGGAACGCGCCGCCAGCCAGGCGCACCACAUGCUGCACCAGUACCUGCAGCGGUGCAGUGAAGUGUUCGCGGCGAUGGGGGGAACUACCUCGGCGAGUGAACUGGUGACGCUGCAGGCGGUGCGCGACGCCAUGGCUCCCUGCGCCAACACGCUUCAAGACUUGCUCAAUGAGGCGGUAGAAAGCCUGGCCUUGACGGCGUGCGAGAGUGUGGACAACGCAGAUAGUGAACCUAUAACCAGCAAUGACACCGAUAUUCCGGACUUGCUCACACCGAUAUCGCAUUCUGGGGCGACUCCGCUGGGGUGUCGGCGGCGCGAGCGCGGCUGUCGUCGUGUGCGGCCCAAGUCAGUGGCGGAGCAACAAUGCAGCAGCAACGAGAUGUUGUCCCUGCCGCCGCUACACGCCGAGGCCGCUGACGGGCUGGCAGACCUGCCCGCGCAUACGCUGCGACACCUUGUUAAAGGUCGACCAAGACGGGCUAAAACCAGGGCGCCGACCCGACCAAUAACAGAUCAAUCUCAAGAUAUCGACGAAGGUCUGGAGGAGUUCUGGCGCACGUGCCGCACGCCGCCCGGCAGCGAGGAGGCGUCGCUGUCGGCGCGCACGCCGCUGACGUCACGCUCGCUGCACUCGCUGUCCUCGCUAGCCUCGCCCGCCUCGCCCGCCGACCACCGGCACUCGCCCACGCUGCAGCGCGACGACACCAUGUACAGCGUGACAUCUGGCGAAAGUACACCUGUUUUAUUAGAAUGCGAAGUUACAGGGUCAUCAGAGGUGUCCCGUUGCAAGUCUUCCGACAACGUAGGCACCAAGUUGCCGACCACGCCGCCGCCGUCGCGGUCUUCUGAUAACGUCAACACUAUGGGGAACGGGUGCGCGCGCACGCCGGGCAAGGCGCGGCCGUGGUCCGUGGCCGGAGUCAACCCCGACGCCGGCGCCGCCGCCUGCACCACAGAAGGCGUGGAGGCGUGCGUCGGAGGCAGCAUCGUCGGCAUCACGCCGGGGGCAGCACUAACCAGUAACCUUUCAGACGCUAUUCUAUACUGAAUGUAGUGUCAAUGUGCCCCUGCCCUUUGUAGGCUCAAUGUUACGAGAUCAUCCUUUAUCUCCAGAGGGCACUGAAGCCUAAGCCAAGCACAGGUGCAGUCCGUCGGUAUCACGUGAUAACUUUGAGCAGGGUUCCAUGUCCAGUACGAUAACAAGCGGAUUUUAUCCUCGGAUGCUCACAAUUGUGCCAGUUAGGAAUUUAACGUCUUAGACAGUAGUCAUUGAUUAGUCAUUCUAAUCUUAUAGCGUACGAAGCAAUCGCCAUUUUAGUUACUUUACGGAAUGGUAAAGCUUUCGCUGUAGGUUGGGUAAUUAGUGGAAGGGAAAUGGAAUAACAGUUCAAAUUAUGCAUUUUGUGAGACUUUCCUGAUAUAGAUAGAACAAUUGAUGCAGAUAAGUGAGAGAGAAAUAGUUCAAAAUGUAGAAAACAUUAUUUAUAAUAAUAAUAAUGAAAUUAAAGAUUGCAUUUAAAGUUCCUAUUUCCUAUAACGUCGACAUUACACGAACCCUCUCUACUAAGUUGCCAACCUACAAAGAAGAAACGACAAUUGCACGAUCAUAAUAAUUCCAAGUAAUUUAAAAUAGGGUUAUUUAUUAAGGACAUCUAUGAAAUCUAAUAAUCGUUUUAUUUACUGUGAUUCAGUUAGUAUUAUAUAAUUUAGUUUAUAAAGUCAUUCAUUACUAAUAUAUUUUAACCAUGCAUAUUUUGUCAUUUUAAUUUUAUUAUCGUUUUUAGGGCUCAGUCUUCAAAUAAUUAGACAUGGAAAUGUACUAAGCAUAACAAAUAUGCUUUACAGUAAUUCAGUAGUUGAUCUUUACACUUCUUAAAAAGUCCGAAAAUAUCGAAAAUUAUGCCUAAUAAAUAAUAGGCCUGUAAGUUUUCGACGGGACGUAGAUUAUUGAUUAUGCCCUAAUAAUUACGAAUUUGUAGAAACACAAGCUGGGAAUUGGUCUUGCCUAGUCAUGUUAUAAAGGCCUAUACGCAUUCACGCACAAAUUUUAUUUAAUUCUUAUAAUGUACCUAUUGUUUAUUUAUAAUAUGUAUUCCAUGAUGAAAUAAAUUUCCAAAACACAUAUAUAUCUUCCAAUUUAUACAUUCCUUUAUGAUUGUAAAGUAGAAAUCAAAUAUUUUGAGAAUUAUGAACAAGUGUGAUUUUAAAAUGAAGUUCAAACGUGACGUGAAUUUUAGAUUAGUAAUUUCAGUGAUGUAAGGUUCAAUUUUAUGAUAAUUCAGUAAAUGUAGAAACUCGCCCCAUAAGUUAAGUGUUCAUUAGACUAAAUAUUUGUAAAAUCAAUUACGGUACGUUCAUUUUAUCUUCUGAAUACCAAGGCUGUCUUUUAUUGGAGUUUCUUGUAAAAUUUUACUGAUCUAAAAGUAGUUGUAUAGUAUAUCGCUAAAUUAUUUCAUAGUAUUUUUAUAUUCAUUCCAAUUUAGUUGGUUUUAUCUAGCUCUUUGGUACCAGACUGAUUUUACGGUACUUUUAUUUUAUGGUGCAAUUUAUGUCUAGAGCGUUGUGAUAAUCUGUUUAAAAUUACAUAACAAUAUACAGCGAUA